rnacentral:rRNA from 1 species
CCUACGGGAGGCAGCAGUGGGGAAUAUUGCACAAUGGGGGAAACCCUGAUGCAGCAACGCCGCGUGAGUGAUGAAGGUUUUCGGAUCGUAAAGCUCUGUCUUUGGGGAAGAUAAUGACGGUACCCAAGGAGGAAGCCACGGCUAACUACGUGCCAGCAGCCGCGGUAAUACGUAGGUGGCGAGCGUUAUCCGGAUUUACUGGGCGUAAAGGGAGCGUAGGCGGAUGAUUAAGUGGGAUGUGAAAUACCCGGGCUCAACUUGGGUGCUGCAUUCCAAACUGGUUAUCUAGAGUGCAGGAGAGGAGAGUGGAAUUCCUAGUGUAGCGGUGAAAUGCGUAGAGAUUAGGAAGAACACCAGUGGCGAAGGCGACUCUCUGGACUGUAACUGACGCUGAGGCUCGAAAGCGUGGGGAGCAAACAGGAUUAGAUACCCGAGUAGU